rnacentral:rRNA from 1 species
GAUGAACGCUGGCGGCGUGCCUAAUACAUGCAAGUCGAGCGAACGGACGAGAAGCUUGCUUCUCUGAUGUUGGCGGCGGACGGGUGAGUAACACGUGGAUAACCUACCUAUAAGACUGGGAUAACUUCGGGAAACCGUAGCUAAUACCGGAUAAUAUUUUGAACCGCAUGGUUCAAAAGUGAAAGACGGUCUUGCUGUCACUUAUAGAUGGAUCCGCGCUGCAUUAGCUAGUUGGUAAGGUAACGGCUUACCAAGGCAACGAUGCAUAGCCGACCUGAGAGGGUGAUCGGCCACACUGGAACUGAGGCACGGUCCAGACUCCUACGGGAGGCAGCAGUAGGGAAUCUUCCGCAAUGGGCGAAAGCCUGACGGAGCAACGCCGCGUGAGUGAUGAAGGUCUUCGGAUCGUAAAACUCUGUUAUUAGGGAAGAACAUAUGUGUAAGUAACUGUGCACAUCUUGACGGUACCUAAUCAGAAAGCCACGGCUAACUACGUG